GUAUGUUGAGAUCGUUAUCAAGUCCGGAUUCCUUCUUAAACGUAAUGACAAAUGUUUGUUUUUAUGGCCUUUAAAUGCAUUCGGCAACUUCAUUUCAGUGUCACAGUGCUGUUUUUUUUUUCAGUCCAAAGAGCCCGAAGCUGAUAAGACUGGCGAUUGAUCCUGAAGCUGAUUUGACAGACGAUUGCAUCAUCACAACAUUGAAGGUUCAAUAUACAGUCAGCCUCUCAUAAGAUAAAGAACAAAUCCCAAGAUCCAAGGCUUGCUUCAAAGUUAAGAGACCAUUCUGUGCCACAAAGAAAUUGUUCAGGAAGAGGAGAAGUGGUGGAUAUUCAUUUUUGGUACGGUUCAAAGAGAUUUUCAAAAUGGUCAUGGAAGAUCAAAGGGAGGACAACUGAAAAAACUGAAAGAUACAGAAGGAAAAA